CCUGCCCUGUGACUAUAUGUUUAACGGCCGCGGUAUUUUGACCGUGCGAAGGUAGCGCAAUCACUUGUCUUUUAAAUAGGGACCUGUAUGAAUGGCAUAACGAGGGCUUAGCUGUCUCCUUUUUCAAGUCAGUGAAAUUGAUCUCCCCGUGCAGAAGCGGGGAUAAGACCAUAAGACGAGAAGACCCUGUGGAGCUUUAGACACCAAGGUAGAUCAUGUUAAGCACCCCAAAACAAAGGGUCAAACUAGAUGAGCCCUACCCCCAUGUCUUCGGUUGGGGCGACCAUGGGGUAAAACAAACCCCCCACGCGGAAAGGGAGAACUUUCCUCCUACAACCUAGAGCCCCCGCUCUAAUAAACAGAACUUCUGACCUAAAGAUCCGGCAAAGCCGAUCAACGGACCAAGUUACCCCAGGGAUAACAGCGCAAUCCUCUUUUAGAGCCCAUAUCGACAAGAGGGUUUACGACCUCGAUGUUGGAUCAGGACAUCCUAAUGGUGCAGCCGCUAUUAAGGGUUCGUUUGUUCAACGAUUAAAGUCCUACGUGAUCU
rnacentral:rRNA from 1 species